GUGAUUGACCCGAACCAAUGACAGUUGCACAAUGAAUCAACUGAAUAAUUGACUGGGAGUGGUCAACUUUCUCACUGUGCACGCUUCAGAGACUCUCUUUAACGGUGCAAUAACGGCGCCGGCCACGUCCUUGCAGUCAGGUUGGAAGAGGGAAGGAAUAUUAGUAACAACCUUUGUUAAGUGAAGGACCGCGUUUACCGCUGUGACUCCACCAAAGGUUGCAGGAAGGAGUGUUUGUUAGUAGGUAAGGUAUCGUUGGGUCUGGAUUCACUUUGAUAAGUAAUAUGACCUUCGUGUUAUGCUGGUUGCCGCGCUAUUGUUUGCUUCACGCGGAAAGCAAACAAUCGAUCACCCACAUCGGGUGGUCACUUAAUAUUUCAAAUCGAACUGCGGAAGCUACUCGCCAAAUAUUUAACUGCAAAUUACCCGACCGAACAUGCAAGCUGACGCACUAUUGUUCACUUCAUAUGAGAAGCAAACAACUGAUCACCCACGGCAGGUGAUCGUUCAGUGUUGCUACAAAAGACGCAACACAACAUAAAAAACUGACUAACUCUUGAUCAAUUCACACGGGAAGAAAACCAUCGAUCACCCACGUCGGAUGAAUGCUAUAUGUUUACUUAUCAAAAACAACAAAAAACCUACGAGUGACGAACUAUACAAAUUCUAUGAAAACUGUUUCAAAAGUAAACAUGCACUAAUUAAAUAACUAGAUGCAAGUU